UCCGGGUUGGUCCCGGCGGUCCCGCUAGACACCGUAACAUGCGACAAGGGUUGCGCUCGUUGCGGGACUUAACCCAACAUCUCACGACACGAGCUGACGACAGCCAUGCACCACCUGUCAUGGGCCCUUUCGGACACCGUAUCUCUACGACUUUCACCGGUUUCACCCUGCAUGUCAAGCCCUGGUAAGGUUCUUCGCGUUGCGUCGAAUUAAGCCACAUGCUCCGCCGCUUGUGCGGGUCCCCGUCAAUUCCUUUGAGUUUUAGCCUUGCGGCCGUACUCCCCAGGCGGGGUGCUUAAUGCGUUUGCGACGGCACGGAAGGGGUUGAUGCCUCCCACACCUAGCACCCAACGUUUACGGCUGGGACUAC
rnacentral:misc_RNA from 1 species